rnacentral:tRNA from 1 species
GGCCCGGUGGUCAAGCGGUUAAGACACCGCCCUUUCACGGCGGUAACACGAGUUCAAAUCUCGUCCGGGUCA